UGUCGAAAAUGAAUCGUUUCUCAGCCUUGUAGAUAAGCGUGCUUGGGCGAGAGUAGUACUAGGAUGGGUGACCUCCUGGGAAGUCCUCGUUUUGCACCUC
rnacentral:rRNA from 2 species